rnacentral:rRNA from 1 species
GCGAGUGAAGCGGCAAAAGCUCAAAUUUGAAAUCUAGCACUUUCAGUGUUCGAGUUGUAAUUUGAAGAAGGUAUCUUUGGAGUUGGCCCCCGUCUAUGUUCCUUGGAACAGGACGUCACAGAGGGUGAGAAUCCCGUGCGAUGGGGAGACCAAUUCUAUGUAAAGUUCCUUCGAAGAGUCGAGUUGUUUGGGAAUGCAGCUCUAAGUGGGUGGUAAAUUCCAUCUAAAGCUAAAUAUUGGCGAGAGACCGAUAGCGAACAAGUACAGUGAUGGAAAGAUGAAAAGAACUUUGAAAAGAGAGUGAAAAAGUACGUGAAAUUGUUGAAAGGGAAGGGCUUUUGAUCAGACUUGGUGUUUAGUACUCUCUUCUCCUUGUGGGAGGGGCUCUUGCUUUAUACUGGGCCAGCAUCGGUUUGGAUGGUAGGAUAAUAGCAUUGGAACGUGGCUUCAUUCGUGAAGUGUUAUAGCCUUUGUUGAUACUACCUAUCUAGACCGAGGACUGCGUCUUUUGACUAGGAUGCUGGCGUAAUGAUUAAAAGCCGCCC